AUUGAACGCUGGCGGCAUGCCUUACACAUGCAAGUCGAACGGCAGCACGGGAGCAAUCCUGGUGGCGAGUGGCGAACGGGUGAGUAAUAUAUCGGAACGUGCCCAGUCGUGGGGGAUAACGUAGCGAAAGCUACGCUAAUACCGCAUACGAUCUACGGAUGAAAGCGGGGGAUCGCAAGACCUCGCGCGAUUGGAGCGGCCGAUAUCAGAUUAGCUAGUUGGUGAGGUAAAGGCUCACCAAGGCGACGAUCUGUAGCUGGUCUGAGAGGACGACCAGCCACACUGGAACUGAGACACGGUCCAGACUCCUACGGGAGGCAGCAGUGGGGAAUUUUGGACAAUGGGCGCAAGCCUGAUCCAGCAAUGCCGCGUGCAGGAUGAAGGCCUUCGGGUUGUAAACUGCUUUUGUACGGAACGAAACGGCUCUUUCUAAUACAAGGGGCUAAUGACGGUACCGUAAGAAUAAGCACCGGCUAACUACGUGCCAGCCGCCGCCGUAAUAC
rnacentral:rRNA from 1 species